GAUCCUGGCUCAGGAUGAACGCUAGCGGCAGGCCUAAUACAUGCAAGUCGAACGGGAAGGAGUCCUUCGGGACUCCUGAGAGUGGCGCACGGGUGCGUAACGCGUAUGCAACCAACCCCGCACUGGGGGACAGCCGGUGGAAACGCCGGGUAAUACCCCAUGCCGACACCGAGGGGCAUCCCUUGGAGUCGAAAGACCUCGGUCGGUGCGGGACGGGCAUGCGUCCCAUUAGCUAGUUGGCGGGGCGACGGCCCACCAAGGCGACGAUGGGUAGGGGAUCUGAGAGGACGGUCCCCCACACUGGUACUGAGACACGGACCAGACUCCUACGGGAGGCAGCAGUAAGGAAUAUUGGGCAAUGGGGGGAACCCUGACCCAGCCAAUGCCGCGUGAGGGAUGUAGGCCCUACGGGUCGUGAACCUCUUUUGUCGGGGGACAAGGACGGCGUCGGGAACGCCGUUUGCGGGUACUCGGCGAAUAAGCAUCGGCUAACUCCGUGCCAGCCGCGGC
rnacentral:rRNA from 1 species